rnacentral:miRNA from 10 species
CAGCUCGUUUCUGAGGGUUCAC